UACGAAGGGGGCGAGCGUUGUUCGGAUUUACUGGGCGUAAAGGGCGCGCAGGCGGCUCAUUUUGUCAGGCGUGAAAGCCCCGGGCUUAACCUGGGAACUGCGUUUGAUACGGAUGGGCUAGAGUUCGGGAGAGGAGAGUGGAAUUCCCAGUGUAGAGGUGAAAUUCGUAGAUAUUGGGAAGAACACCGGUGGCGAAGGCGGCUCUCUGAGCCGAUACUGACGCUGAGGCGCGAAAGCGUGGGGAGCAAACAGG
rnacentral:rRNA from 1 species